UUUUCCCCUGUGGGGCUUUCACUUAGGGGAGAGAAUAAGAAAUGUCCCGAUCAGCCUGUGAGAGGGCCACAAAGACCACACCGCACCCUGCCUGAGCCGUUUCUCUCAUGGACCAAACCAAACCGCCACUGCUAUGAUCACGGUUAGGAUUGAUGGGGUCGUCUACUUUCCAUCGGAGCUCCACGGAGACCACUAGCAGCACAUGGAAAAAUUCACCCACUGAGAUGGCACAGGUCCCUGAAAAACUGGACCUGCAGAUCCCUUCUUCCUGUAAGAUGAUCGAAGAGGGGUACGCACCUGCUUUUCCAGCUCCUCGACAUCUGCAGUUGAGAUGUCCUCCACGUAGUUGGAUGGGAAGUACUGCUGGAUCCUGGUUCCAUAGUCACCCUUCCACCUGGGUAAGAAGAGGGGACAUCAGGGAGCUGUCACCAGGUGGCAUGAAUUACCCGCUACUGCUCAUUAGCACCCGGCUGCUGGCUCGAUUCUGAUGGGCACAGGUAGCAAGUGGCCAAGUGACCAGUGUCACUAUCUGUGACAAUGCAGAAACUCACAGACAGCUUCUUUUUAUUUUUUAAUUAUCAAUGAGUUACUGGGGGCCGAUUUUCCUCCUUAUUAGAUGAUCUUAAUGUUUGACCAAAGAAACCACAAGUCAAAAGUUUCAGUGCUUUAAUUGGAAGUCAGAGACCAUACAAGACAAAAGCUCAACCCCAUUUCAGGGAAUAAUUUUGAGAAAAGGUGGUUCUAGAGCCAGAUAGCCUGAAAUUAAAUUCCAGCCCUAGCACGGACUGUGGAGGCUUUCUGUGCCUCCAGUUCUCCAUUCACAAAAUGGUGAAACACGAGUGCUUCCCUUAGAAGGCUUUAUUAGGUCUCUCUACAUUAACAUAAGCUGAGCGCUUGAGACAGCACCUACCUAGCACACAGUAAGUACUCAACAGUGUUAGCUCUUAUUAUUAUUCAGCUAAAACACUGUUCCAUACCUUUAUGACAGCACUAACAACACAUGACAUAAUCCAUCUGUGAAUGUUCCUGGACCCUACCAGACGGUGAGCACCUCUAAGAUUCCUCCCCACAAGUCCACGCCCAGACACGCAAACCUCCUCCUUCGACCUGCGCAUCUCAAGAGCCACUUCUGCAGCCAUAGACCCUCCAAAAUGCACGUCUGACCACACCACGUGACGGCUCCCCAGGGCCUCUAGAAUCCAGCCCAGACUCUUCAUCAUGGCAACCACAGCCCAGCACAGGCUGACCCCAGGACUCCCAGACCUCACCUCCUAGCUCUCCAUGACAUUGAUUCCACAUGGCCCAUUGUCCUCAUCAUUCCCCUGCCACAUUACCCAGCUUCCAUGUCUUAGUCCACGCCCUUGGUACCCAGCUUCCCUCUACUAAUUUUAGACUCAGUUUGGGCAUUUCCUCUUCCAGGAAGUCUUCCCUGACUGCCACCUAGGCUGAGCACUCUUCCUCUGUGGUCCCCUGGCCUCCUGUCCUGAUAGUCAUCCAAGCAGCCACACCUUAUACUUAAUGUGUAAUUACACACCUGUCUUCCCCACU